CCUACGGGAGGCAGCAGUGGGGAAUAUUGGACAAUGGGGGCAACCCUGAUCCAGCCAUGCCGCGUGUGUGAAGAAGGCCCUCGGGUUGUAAAGCACUUUCAGUGAGGAAGAACGCCUGGUGGUUAAUACCCAUCAGGAAAGACAUCACUCACAGAAGAAGCACCGGCUAACUCCGUGCCAGCAGCCGCGGUAAUACGGAGGGUGCGAGCGUUAAUCGGAAUUACUGGGCGUAAAGCGCGCGUAGGUGGCUUGAUAAGCCGGUUGUGAAAGCCCCGGGCCCAACCUGGGAACGGCAUCCGGAACUGUCAAGCUAGAGUGCAGGAGAGGAAGGUAGAAUUCCCGGUGUAGCGGUGAAAUGCGUAGAGAUCGGGAGGAAUACCAGUGGCGAAGGCGGCCUUCUGGACUGACACUGACACUGAGGUGCGAAAGCGUGGGUAGCAAACAGGAUUAGAUACCCUUGUAGUC
rnacentral:rRNA from 1 species